CCUACGGGUGGCAGCAGUGAGGAAUAUUGGUCAAUGGACGGAAGUCUGAACCAGCCAUGCCGCGUGCAGGAUGACGGCUCUAUGAGUUGUAAACUGCUUUUGUACAAGGGUAAACCUGAAUACGUGUAUUCCGCUGAAAGUACUGUACGAAUAAGGAUCGGCUAACUCCGUGCCGGCAGCCGCGGUAAUACGGAGGAUCCAAGCGUUAUUCGGAUUUAUUGGGUGUAAAGGGUGCGUAGGCGGAGUGAUAAGUUAGAGGUGAAAUGUCCGAGCUUAACUCGGGAACUGCCGCUAAUACUGUUGAUCUAGAGAGUAGAUGCGGUAGGCGGAAUGCAUGGUGUAGCGGUGAAAUGCUUAGAGAUCAUACAGAACACCGAUUGCGAAGGCAGCUUACUAAGCUAUAUCUGACGUUGAGGCACGAAAGCGUGGGGAGCAAACAGGAUUAGAUACCCCUGUAGUC
rnacentral:rRNA from 1 species